rnacentral:rRNA from 1 species
CAGCAGCCGCGGGAAUACGUAGGGUGCGAGCGUUAAUCGGAAUUACUGGGCGUAAAGCGUGCGCAGGCGGUUAUAUAAGACAGAUGUGAAAUCCCCGGGCUCAACCUGGGAACUGCAUUUGAAACUGGCAAGCUAGAGUCUUGUAGAGGGGGGUAGAAUUCCAGGUGUGGCGGUGAAAUGCGUAGAGAUCUGGAGGAAUACCGGUGGCGAAGGCGGCCCCCUGGACAAAGACUGACGCUCAGGUGCGAAAGCGUGGGGAGCAAACAGGAUUAGAUACCCCAGUAGUCCCUGUCUCUUAUAC